rnacentral:rRNA from 1 species
AGCAGCCGCGGUAAUUCCAGCUCCAAUAGCGUAUAUUAAAGUUGCUGCAGUUAAAAAGCUCGUAGUUGAAUUUCGGGACUAAUAUGUCGGUCGUGCCUCGGUACGUACUGGUAUUUUUGGUUUCUCCCUUCUGACGAACCUUGAUGUCAUUAAUUUGGUGUCUUGGGAAAUCAGGACUGUUACUUUGAAAAAAUUAGAGUGUUUAAAGCAGGCUCGCGCUUGAAUACAUUAGCAUGGAAUAAUGAAAUAGGACGUUUGAUUCUAUUUUGUUGGUUUCUAGGAUCGACGUAAUGAUUAAUAGGGAUAGUUGGGGGCAUUAGUAUUCAAUUGUCAGAGGUGAAAUUCUUGGAUUUAUUGAAGACUAACUACUGCGAAAGCAUUUGCCAAGGAUGUUUUCAUUAAUCAAGAACGAAAGUUAGGGGAUCGAAGACGAUCAGAUACCGUCGUAGUCUUAACCAUAAACUAUGCCGACUAGGGAUCGGAUGAUGUUAAUUUUUUAAUGACUCAUUCGGCGCCUUACG